rnacentral:lncRNA from 1 species
AGAUCGAUGACUUUUUGUUAUCAAUUGCAGGGUGUCUAGGUCUUCUCCAAAAUAGACAUGUGUUUAGGUUAUACUGUGCGUAACUCAAUUAAUGAUUUUUAGGGUCUUUUUGGUUAUUCUAUUAUUCGUUUCCCCUGCAUUGUGUGCUGGUAUUCCGGUCAUUGGUUAUUUGGGGGUAUGAAACUAUAUUGUUAUUUAAAUGAACGGUGAGUAUAAAA